CCUACGGGAGGCAGCAGUGAGGAAUAUUGGUCAAUGGACGAAAGUCUGAACCAGCCAUGUAGCGUGCAGGAUGACGGCCCUAUGAGUUGUAAACUGCUUUUGUAAGAGGAUAAACCCAGACACGUGUAUCUGUCUGAAAGUACUGUACGAAUAAGGAUCGGCUAACUCCGUGCCAGCAGCCGCGGUAAUACGGAGGAUUCAAGCGUUAUCCGGAUUUAUUGGGUUUAAAGGGUGCGUAGACGGUCAGUUAAGUCAGAUGUGAAAGCUCGAGGCUCAACUUCGGAAUUGCCUCUGAUACUGGUCGUCUAGAGAAUAGUUGCGGUAGGCGGAAUGUAUGGUGUAGCGGUGAAAUGCUUAGAGAUCAUACAGAACACCGAUUGCGAAGGCAGCUUACCAAGCUACGUCUGACGUUGAGGCACGAAAGCGUGGGGAGCAAACAGGAUUAGAUACCCUUGUAGUC
rnacentral:rRNA from 1 species